rnacentral:rRNA from 1 species
UACGAAGGGGGCUAGCGUUGCUCGGAAUCACUGGGCGUAAAGCGCACGUAGGCGGCUUUCUAAGUCAGGGGUGAAAUCCUGGAGCUCAACUCCAGAACUGCCUUUGAUACUGGGAAGCUCGAGUCCGGAAGAGGUGAGUGGAACUCCUGGUGUAGCGGUGAAAUGCGCAGAUAUCCGGAGGAACACCAGCGGCGAAGGCGCUUUCUGGUCCGAUACUGACGCUGAGGAGCGAAAGCGUGGGGAGCGAACAGG